UACGAAGGGAGCUAGCGUUGUUCGGAAUCACUGGGCGUAAAGCGCACGUAGGCGGAUUUGUCAGUCAGGGGUGAAAUCCCGGGGCUCAACCUCGGAACUGCCUUUGAUACAGCAAGUCUUGAGUUCGAGAGAGGUGGGUGGAAUUCCUAGUGUAGAGGUGAAAUUCGUAGAUAUUAGGAAGAACACCGGUGGCGAAGGCGGCCCACUGGCUCGAUACUGACGCUGAGGUGCGAAAGCGUGGG
rnacentral:rRNA from 1 species